rnacentral:rRNA from 1 species
UACAGAGGGUGCGAGCGUUAAUCGGAAUUACUGGGCGUAAAGCGCGCGUAGGUGGCUAGGCAAGUCGGAUGUGAAAUCCCCGGGCUCAACCCGGGAACUGCGUCCGAUACUGGCAGGCUUGAAUUCGGGAGAGGGAUGCGGAAUUCCAGGUGUAGCGGUGAAAUGCGUAGAUAUCUGGAGGAACACCGGUGGCGAAGGCGGCAUCCUGGACCGAGAUUGACGCUGAUGCGCGAAAGCCAGGGGAGCAAACGGG